rnacentral:rRNA from 1 species
UACAGAGGUGGCAAGCGUUGUUCGGAAUUACUGGGCGUAAAGGGCGCGUAGGCGGCCUUCUAAGUCAGACGUGAAAUCCCCCGGCUUAACCUGGGAACUGCGUCUGAUACUGGAGGGCUUGAGUAUGGGAGAGGGAUGCGGAAUUCCAGGUGUAGCGGUGAAAUGCGUAGAUAUCUGGAGGAACACCGGUGGCGAAGGCGGCAUCCUGGACCAACACUGACACUGAGGAGCGAAAGCCAGGGGAGCAAACGGG